rnacentral:rRNA from 1 species
AACAGGAUUAGAUACCCUGGUAGUCCACGCCGUAAACGAUGUCGACUUGGAGGUUGUGCCCUUGAGGCGUGGCUUCCGGAGCUAACGCGUUAAGUCGACCGCCUGGGGAGUACGGCCGCAAGGUUAAAACUCAAAUGAAUUGACGGGGGCCCGCACAAGCGGUGGAGCAUGUGGUUUAAUUCGAUGCAACGCGAAGAACCUUACCUACUCUUGACAUCCAGAGAACUUAGCAGAGAUGCUUUGGUGCCUUCGGGAACUCUGAGACAGGUGCUGCAUGGCUGUCGUCAGCUCGUGUUGUGAAAUGUUGGGUUAAGUCCCGCAACGAGCGCAACCCUUAUCCUUUGUUGCCAGCGGUCCGGCCGGGAACUCAAAGGAGACUGCCAGUGAUAAACUGGAGGAAGGUGGGGAUGACGUCAAGUCAUCAUGGCCCUUACGAGUAGGGCUACACACGUGCUACAAUGGCGCAUACAAAGAGAAGCGGCCUCGCGAGAGCAAGCGGACCUCAUAAAGUGCGUCGUAGUCCGGAUUGGAGUCUGCAACUCGACUCCAUGAAGUCGGAAUCGCUAGUAAUCGUGGAUCAGAAUGCCACGGUGAAUACGUUCCCGGGCCUUGUACACACCGCCCGUCACACCAUGGGAGUGGGUUGCAGAAGAAGUAGGUAGCUUAACCUUCGGGAGGGCGCUUACCACUUUGUGAUUCAUGACUGGGGUGAAGUCGUAACAAGGUAACC